CCCUGUAUCGAAAGUGGUCGUGGCGUGAUUGUUGCCAGAUCAUUGAUAUUGCAGGAAGAGUGAACUGAAAGUCUUUCCCGUGUUUGCUGGAUCCCCUGUUCCUGACAAACGCUGUAUCUUUCAAACA
ensembl:snoRNA SNORA71 Small nucleolar RNA SNORA71